rnacentral:rRNA from 2 species
GCUAUCAUGCAAGUCGAGCGACUGAUUAGAAGCUUGCUUCUAUGACGUUAGCGGCGGACGGGUGAGUAACACGUGGGCAACCUGCCUGUAAGACUGGGAUAACUUCGGGAAACCGAAGCUAAUACCGGAUAGGAUCUUCUCCUUCAUGGGAGAUGAUUGAAAGAUGGUUUCGGCUAUCACUUACAGAUGGGCCCGCGGUGCAUUAGCUAGUUGGUGAGGUAACGGCUCACCAAGGCAACGAUGCAUAGCCGACCUGAGAGGGUGAUCGGCCACACUGGGACUGAGACACGGCCCAGACUCCUACGGGAGGCAGCAGUAGGGAAUCUUCCGCAAUGGACGAAAGUCUGACGGAGCAACGCCGCGUGAGUGAUGAAGGCUUUCGGGUCGUAAAACUCUGUUGUUAGG